CCAGACUCCUACGGGAGGCAGCAGUGAGGAAUAUUGGUCAAUGGACGCAAGUCUGAACCAGCCAAGUAGCGUGCAGGAUGACGGCCCUCCGGGUUGUAAACUGCUUUUAGUUGGGAAUAAAAGGGGGCUCGUGAGCCCCGUAUUGUAUGUACCAUCAGAAAAAGGACCGGCUAAUUCCGUGCCAGCAGCCGCGGUAAUACGGAGGAUGCGAGCGUUAUCCGGAUUUAUUGGGUUUAAAGGGUGCGCAGGCGGAGGUGCAAGUCAGCGGUCAAAUUGCGGGGCUCAACCCCGUACUGCCGUUGAAACUGGCAGUCUCGAGUUGGAGAGAAGUAUGCGGAAUGCGCGGUGUAGCGGUGAAAUGCAUAGAUAUCGCGCAGAACUCCGAUUGCGAAGGCAGCAUGCCGGCUCCACACUGACGCUGAGGCACGAAAGCGUGGGUAUCGAACAGGAUUAGAUACCCUUGUA
rnacentral:rRNA from 1 species